rnacentral:rRNA from 1 species
UACGAAGGGGGCUAGCGUUGCUCGGAAUCACUGGGCGUAAAGCGCACGUAGGCGGCUUUUUAAGUCAGGGGUGAAAUCCUGGAGCUCAACUCCAGAACUGCCUUUGAUACUGAGAAGCUUGAGUUCGGGAGAGGUGAGUGGAACUGCGAGUGUAGAGGUGAAAUUCGUAGAUAUUCGGAAGAACACCAGUGGCGAAGGCGACUUACUGGACACAUAUUGACGCUGAGGUGCGAAAGCGUGGGGAGCAAACAGG